AGAACGAACGCUGGCGGCAUGCCUAAUACAUGCAAGUCGAACGAACUCUUCGGAGUUAGUGGCGCACGGGUGCGUAACGCGUGGAAUCUGCCCCUUGGUUCGGAAUAACAGUUGGAAACGACUGCCAAUACCGGAUGAUGACGAAAGUCCAAAGAUUUAUCGCCAA
rnacentral:rRNA from 1 species